CUGUGGUAGCAGCAGCCCAGAAAGGACUCAGCUCUCUCCACUAUCUCUGAAGCAUUUUUGAACCCAUCUGCCAAAAAGAAAAAUGAAGGAUUGCCCUGUGAAAGUGAUUCUUGUAAGACAUUCUUCAAACUGGAAAUGAGUUGUUCUGGCUGUGUCUGGUAGUAAUUCCCAUCAGUGCCUUUUCACUCUUCACUGCAAAGCUCUCCCGGUCCUGCAAACUGCAAAGUCAAAUCAAGACACCAAUGAAAAGUUAAAGCCCAAGAAAGAGCACACCCAACAGAGCAGGGAGUGAUAAUAGAAAAUUAUGCAGACUUCUCCACUGUGGUUGACAACCAAGGAAGGUUUGGUCAGGUACUACCUUCAGAGGAGCAGUGUAAUUGGAAGGCAUCAUAUCUGACACCUCAUCUUGCCUGGAAUAUUGCUCUUUUCUGUGUGUGUAGAACAAGAAAAGCAGAGUAACUGUUCAGCAGAAAGCAAGAAACCAGCCUUGUGGUGUGUAUUUAACUCAAGAGCAAGAAAUUUGUGUGCUGCAGAUUUUGAGGGAGAAAUGGAAAGCAUGCAAAGUAUAAGCCAGUGUAUCUUUAAUUCCCUGAAUAAUAGCAGUGUGAUACACUUCAGGAUGUAGAGUAUGAAAUACAGUAAUUGUGUAUAGAAGCCAGUGAUCCAGCAAGUUUCAGUGAGGGAGAUGUUAAUGAGAGGGUUCAGAUGAUUCCUCAAACUGAAGAAUUGCCACUGAACAUUUAAUAAAGCUUCUUACACUCCAGACAGCUGUGGGAGCAGACAGGACAAUUUCACCUCAUCCACCACAUCCACAGUGAGAAGAAGCAAGCAGAAAGCAGUGAUAUGACAUGUCCCAGUGCCACUGGUGGGUGUGUUCUAUCUUUCCUCUGAUCUCUCUCUACUCAAAUGAAUUCUUCUUGUUAUGGGACUGCUCCCUAAAUUCCACUUUGGAGCGAAGGCAGCUUUAACCUUCCUGCUCUGUGCAAGCAAAACCUGCUGCACUGAGCCUUGCCCUCCUGCUCCAUACUCCUCUCUCCUCUUCUCAUGCACUCUUCUGAAGACUGGAAGAAGCAUUUUCACUUUGGGACAGCAGAGGAGGUGAGGGAAAGCCCAGUAUGCCCCAGACCCAACGUCAGCUGAGGCACAGAGUGGCAGCACUCGCUGUCCCGGCCCAGGAAGAGGGCACAGCCAGCACCACAGGGUCACCCAUCUGAGAAGACAACUGGUAUGGCAGGUCCUAAAACAGCAUUAUCAGCAAUCAAACAGCGGUGUUUGUGUCACAUCUGUGUGGAACUGGUGUUACUGUGACAUCAGGAAACAGCUCAUGCCCAUGGGCAUCACAGAGUUUCUAACUCAGAGCUGUGGAGCAGCUUUCUCCAUGCCAAAGUCCCCUUUGCUUUGCCAGCUUCACCCAGGGGAAGCUUCCACCAGGAAUCUUCUGCCUCCCAUGGAAACAGAGUGGAGUGGUUAUACCUGAGAAAACUGUGAGCAGGAAAGAGAAAUGGGCUUGGCUCUUUGUACCACGUAAUAAAGAGUCUGGUGAAGGAGGAGGAGGAGCAGGAUGAAGGCCCAGCCCACCAAUGCCCCAGGCAUUUGGCACCCUGUGGCCAGAGCUCCACAGUGGAGCCUCACUCUCUGCCCUGCAGUGUUUUCGUGUGGCCAGACCUUGCUGGUAGCCCUGGAUCAGAAUGACCCUCCUGUUUGAGGUGCCAGUCCCAGCUGGAUCCUCUCUGCUGCGAUGCAAAGGGUGCUUGGUGGGCUCUGGGGGAUGUCUGGGGGAUGCACAAUCCCCAGAGGACACAUUGAAGUGGUGGAACAAAGGCAGAGUUCCAAAGGAAGGUAGCUCUUGGUUUUCCUGUCCUGCAGGGGAGGUGCUGGGGUUAGAGGUGUUUUGGAGUAUGCCCCAGCUGCCCUGGGGAAGUGCUGGAUGAAACUGGUGGGUUUUGUCCAUCUCCCUUUAGCAGCAAACUGACUGGAGGGUGCAGUUAGCCAAGCCCAAGGUGGAUCAGAUCAGUCACUUCCUGGGAAACUCUACUUUUUUCUGGCUUUCCAGGGUGACUCAUUCAGACAGCUGCAAUGUGGAGGCUUAAAGCAAGUGAUGUAAAUUCUGCUUCAUGAGGAAAGCUAAAAAAAGUUGAAAAAAGAAAGAGAGCAGAACAAGACAAAAAAAGGAAGCAAGGAGGGUGUGACUUCACCCACAGCAAGGACCAUGAAUUACAAUCUCAGCAGGAAAAGGUGCUCUGUACAGAGCAGUAACUCACAACAUGCCAGUGCUCAUUUUAAAGGAAAGAUUACUGGCUUUAAAGUUCCUGAGGUAUUUUUAUCCAGUGCUAUGAAAAUGAACAAUGUCUUUAUCUACUCCAGCAGUCUGCUAAAAUUUUAAAAGACUAUAACCAGGACUAGCUCUUCUAGGUGAAUCAUGAAUAGAAGAUCUUCCAUUCCCAGGCUGACCCUUCUCUUUUUCUACUCCAAUUUUUUUUUUUGCCGCUGAG